rnacentral:RNase_P_RNA from 2 species
AAAGUCGGUCGGACAGUCGCUGCCGUCUUCUUGCAAGAAAAGUUGUCUGCAAGUCACGGGGGAGGAAAGUCCGGGCUCCACAGGGCAAAGUGCCAGGUAACGCCUGGGAGGCGCGAGCCUACGGAAAGUGCCACAGAAAACAACCGCCUAAGUCUUGCACGCAAGGCCGGUAAGGGUGAAAAGGUGCGGUAAGAGCGCACCGCGCGGCUGGUAACAGUCCGCGGCAAGGCAAACCCCACUCGGAGCAAGACCAAAUAGGGUUCCUAAGCGCGGCCCGCGUUGGAACCGGGUAGGUUGCUUGAGGCGAUUUGUGAAAAUCGUCCCAGAUGAAUGACUGUCCACGACAGAACCCGGCUUACAGACCGACUUUCCUC